UCUGCAAUCAAACUUAUAAUUGAGUUUAGUUGUCCGCUUUUCCAAUUCCAUGACUAGAAUUUUGGAGAAGGCUCUCUUGCAAUAAGGCACACGUUGUCGCAGGGAUUACCUGGUGGGCUGCCGCAACCUUGCGAAAGUAAGGCACAUUUGCAAUGGGACCCACUGGAAACCUCCUGUGGACGAGACCAUCGUGUACAAACAUGUAUGCAAUACCAAACACUGUGAUGCCAAGUCCCUGAAACUCUCGGAAGUAUCAUAUGCCAUCCUUGCAUGAACAAGUCAACAAACACACACAAACACAUUUUGUAUAUGUAUGCUAAAGUUCUCUAUUAUAUAUUUGAGAGAUUCUUGUGAGAUGAUGCCUUCACUACUUUCCGCAAGGCAUUUUUGAAUAGGUGCGAUGAUUUGCAUCAUUUAUCAGCGGCUGAAAGAAAGUCAUAGAUAGGGCACAAGGAUAAUUGUAAAUCAUUGGGAGGCAUAACCUCUCCGACAGGAUUAUCCUUACCAGGUAACAAAUGACAAAUAUGCUUGUCCUUUAUGACUGCCUUCCAUUUCAUAUCUCGCAAAUACAAAUAAUGUUCCAGCACAAAUUUGUUUGGCAGAAAAUCUUGACGAGUAGCACAAUGAAAGUUCACCAACUGUGAGUAGCCGAGUAAUCUUUAUCACUUUGAUUAAUUCUCUCUGUGUUUUUCUCUAUGUACUUGUGUAUAUGUGUAUCUGUGCAUAUAAUCAUGGCAGAAUUUGGAAGGUAUUUUCGUUUAUAGGUUAGGUCUAAUGUGUUUGUACUCACCGCACCAAAGCAGAGGCCUGGAACGAGACCCUUAUUGAAGAAGCCAUAUGAUAGAAGAGAGAUUGCGGGGACAGAAUUGAUUAUGGCAAAUACAUCGUUCAG
rnacentral:lncRNA from 1 species